UGAGCAAUCUGCCCUUCUCAUCGGAAUAAGCGUUGGAAACGACGUCUAAUGCCGAAUACGACCUCCUUUCGCAUGAUCGGAGGUGGAAAGCUCCGGCGGAGAAGGAUGAGCUCGCGGCCUAUCAGCUAGCUGGUGUGGGUAAUGGCCCACAAGGCGACGACGGGUAGCCGGCCUGAGAGGGUGACCGGCCACACUGGGACUGAGACACGGCCCAGACUCCGUAGGGAG
rnacentral:rRNA from 1 species